GUGACUUCUGAGUGAGUUGUGCUUCAUACAUCUCUACACUAUCGAUCGUUUAUCUUCAGAUUUUCAUUAAAGUAAUUCUUAUUUUUAACAGCAAUCCACACAAAUUCAUUACUAGAUUAUUGACUUUUUUUUUUUCCUCGAGGAAUUUCACUAAUGCGACCAAACCUUAGCUAUAACUGGCUUAAGAAAUGAGAACGCAGAGUUUUGAGGUCGCAGCGGCCAUGGAGCUCGUUCAAAUACUGAGGUGCUAAACCACUCAGGGCUUUGAUGUUAAUUGGAUGACUGAAGAAGUGUAGAUUACUUGUGGAUUAUCGUGAUGUUUUUAUCAGCUGUUUGGACUCUCAUUCUGACGGCACCCAUUCACUGCAGAGGAUCCAUUGUUGAGCAAGAGCUGUAAUGUUAUAUUUCUCCAAAUCUGAUGAAGAAACAAACUCAUCUCCAUCUUGGAUGGCAUGAGGCUGCAGGUGGAUGGCUCUAGGUUGCCAUUUUGAAGGCAACAUGACAAGCUGUCACAGCACAAUGGCAGACAUGUUUCAAGACCACAGUGGACCAGUAAGCCGAGUAUUGAUAUUCAGCACUCUCAGCCAUUCCUGCAAGAUCAGAUAUAGCUCCAAAGCAAACUGACGUGAAAAAGACGGGGAUGCUUGUCUCAAGUUCUAAGGAAAUAAUGGAGCAAAGCAAUGGAGGGUUGCAUAAACAAACCUGCAGUAAAUGGAUGUAUCCACUAACACUGUGUGGGUAUUUCACUGGAAAGAACUAAUAAGCAAGGACAUUACAAACAAAGGAAAACAAAGGCCAAGAUCUGCUCAGGUUUCAGAGCUCUCACUGGGAAUGUUCUUCAGAGAACAGGUGCUCAAAGGAAGCUUUAAUCUUCUAUCAAACUAUUCCAAAACCUGACUCAAUGGGAGCCGUUAAAAUAAUGUUACAGUGAUGUAAGCGGUUUACUCUGUAUGCCAGAUCAGCAUUCAUAAUAGGCUCUGAGACAUGGGACAAAAAAACUUAAAAUGACAACAAAUGUCCACUUUGAAAUGAAUCAGAGAUGAUCACUUGAAUGUUCUUAUUACAAAUUGUGUUCUUAUUUUUAUCAGAAUUAUAAAAGUUGCCUGUAUCAGUGACUAUAGACGAUAACGGUAUUAUUUGAAAA
ensembl:lncRNA